rnacentral:rRNA from 1 species
GACGAACGCUGGCGGCGUGCUUAACACAUGCAAGUCGAGCGGUAAGGCCCUUUCGGGGUACGACGAGCGGCGAACGGGUGAGUAACACGUGGGUGACCUGCCUUUAGCUCUGGGAUAAGCCUGGGAAACUGGGUCUAAUACCGGAUAUGACUCCAUGAUGCAUGUUGUGGGGUGGAAAGCCUUGUGCGGCUGGAGAUGGGCCCGCGGCCUAUCAGCUUGUUGGUGGGGUGANGGCCUACCAAGGCGACGACGGGUAGCCGGCCUGAGAGGGCGACCGGCCACACUGGGACUGAGACACGGCCCAGACUCCUACGGGAGGCAGCAGGUGGGGAAUCUUGCGCAAUGGGCGAAAGCCUGACGCAGCGACGCCGCGUGAGGGAUGAC